GACGGGGAGCACCACAACGGGUGGAGCUUGCGGUUUAAUUGGAUUCAACGCCGGAAAUCUUACCGGGACCGACAGCAAUAUGAAGGCCAGGCUGAAGACUUUGCCGGAUUAGCUGAGAGGUGGUGCAUGCCGUCGUCAGUUCGUACUGUGAAGCAUCCUGUUAAGUCAGGCAACGAGCGAGACCCACGCCCACAGUUGCCAGCGUACUCUCCGGAGUGACGGGUACACUGUGGGACCGCCGCUGCUAAAGCGGAGGAAGGAAUGGGCAACGGUAGGUCAGUAUGCCCCGAAUAUCCCGGGCUACACGCGAGCUACAAUGGUUGGUACAAUGGGUAUCUACCCCGAAAGGGGACGGGAAUCUCCUAAAACCAAUCUUAGUUCGGAUUGAGGGCUGCAACUCGCCCUCAUGAAGCUGGAAUCCGUAGUAAUCGCGUUUCAACAGAACGCGGUGAAUACGUCCCCUGCUCCUU
rnacentral:rRNA from 1 species